GAUGAACGCUGGCGGCGUGCCUAAUACAUGCAAGUCGAGCGAACAGACGAGGAGCUUGCUCCUCUGACGUUAGCGGCGGACGGGUGAGUAACACGUGGAUAACCUACCUAUAAGACUGGGAUAACUUCGGGAAACCGGAGCUAAUACCGGAUAAUAUAUUGAACCGCAUGGUUCAAUAGUGAAAGACGGUUUUGCUGUCACUUAUAGAUGGAUCCGCGCCGCAUUAGCUAGUUGGUAAGGUAACGGCUUACCAAGGCAACGAUGCGUAGCCGACCUGAGAGGGUGAACGGACACACAGGAAAUGAGAAACGGUCCAGACUCCUACGGGAGGCAGCAGUAGGGAAUCUUCCGCAAUGGGCGAAAGCCUGACGGAGCAACGCCGCGUGAGUGAUGAAGGUCUUCGGAUCGUAAAACUCUGUUAUUAGGGAAGAACAAAUGUGUAAGUAACUAUGCACGUCUUGACGGUACCUAAUCAGAAAGCCACGGCUAACUACGUG
rnacentral:rRNA from 1 species